GAAAGCCGGGUGAGUUCGAAAGACUCAUGCCCGGUUUGGAGAGGGGGCGUUCGGAAAAGUGCCAUAGCAAAUGGUAACUAGCUGGCGCUCUACUCUAC
rnacentral:ncRNA from 1 species